UACGUAGGGUGCAAGCGUUAAUCGGAAUUACUGGGCGUAAAGCGUGCGCAGGCGGUUUUGUAAGUCAGAUGUGAAAUCCCCCGGGCUUAACCUGGGAACUGCGUUUGAAACUACAAGGCUAGAGUGUGGCAGAGGGGGGGUGGAAUUCCACGUGUAGCAGUGAAAUGCGUAGAGAUGUGGAGGAACACCGAUGGCGAAGGCAGCCCCCUGGGUUAACACUGACGCUCAGGCACGAAAGCGUGGGGAGCAAACAGG
rnacentral:rRNA from 1 species